rnacentral:rRNA from 1 species
UGGGGAAUAUUGGACAAUGGGCGAAAGCCUGAUCCAGCCAUGCCGCGUGUGUGAAGAAGGUCUUCGGAUUGUAAAGCACUUUAAGUUGGGAGGAAGGGCAUUAACCUAAUACGUUAGUGUUUUGACGUUACCGACAGAAUAAGCACCGGCUAACUCUGUGCCAGCAGCCGCGGUAAUACAGAGGGUGCAAGCGUUAAUCGGAAUUACUGGGCGUAAAGCGCGCGUAGGUGGUUUGUUAAGUUGGAUGUGAAAGCCCCGGGCUCAACCUGGGAACUGCAUCCAAAACUGGCAAGCUAGAGUACGGUAGAGGGUGGUGGAAUUUCCUGUGAAGCGGUGAAAUGCGUAGAUAUAGGAAGGAACACCAGUGGCGAAGGCGACCACCUGGACUGAUACUGACACUGAGGUGCGAAAGCGUGGGGAGCAAACA